rnacentral:lncRNA from 1 species
AGAUUUAAAAAUUUGAUAAAAUCAGUUUUUCUGAAAUUUGACUCAUCCAAAGAAUCUCAUGGAAUCCUUAUUAAAUGACGGCUUUCUAGACCCCAUGCAGUACUAAUCACAUGGAAAUCUCUGCGGAGAAGUCAGCAGACUUUUAAAUAUUCAACCUAGCUCCUGCACCCCAACCUAAGUUCUUAUGAACCCACAACUUGGGGAAAUGCCACGUCAGGUUAUUUCUAAAGCCAUCCCUAUUCCAGUUAUCUGUGGAAACUAAAUAAAGACCACUGUACCAAUUACCCAUUAGCUCACUUUAUUCCUAACAGCUUUCCAGUUAUCACCAAGCAGAUACUGUCUUAAGGAGUAGGGCCUGGGAUGGGUAACUUGUGAUGAUCAGACAGUUCGGGGCAGCAGAAGGCACAGAUGUCAGGUGCGACUGAGGAAAUAUGGAAAACUUCUAUCCUGGAGAUUUUGUAUGAAUGUAACCAUACACCAUGUGGCCUUUUGUGACUGGCUUCUUUUGCUAUGCCUAGUAUUUUCAAGGUCUGUCCAUGUUGCAGCAUGC